AAAGGUUUGGUCCUAGCUUUUUUAUUAGUUCACAGCAAAAUUAUACAUGCAAGAAUCGUCACCCCAGUGAGAAUUCCCUCUUGAUCACAAUUUAGAUUUAAAGGAGUAGGCAUCAAGCACACACUAAAAGUAGCUCAUGACGCCUUGCUUAGCCACACCCCCACGGGAUACAGCAGUAAUAAAAAUUAAGCUAUAAACGAAAGUUUGACUAAGUUAUGCUACACCCCUAGAGUUGGUCAAUCUCGUGCCAGCCACCGCGGUCAUACGAUUGACUCUAACUAAUAAAGCACGGCGUAAAGAGUGUUAAAGAUAAUACAAAAAUAAAAUUAAAUAUAACCUAAGCUGUAAAAAGCAACAGGCUAUAAAAAAAUCACAUACAAAAGUAAUUUUAAUUUGUCCAACACACUAAAGCUAAGGCCCAAACUGGGAUUAGAUACCCCACUAUGCUCAGCCCUAAGCACAAAAACUUUAUAACAAAAAUUUUCGCCAGAGGACUACUAGCAACAGCUUAAAACUCAAAGGACUUGGCGGUGCUUUAAACCCAUCUAGAGGAGCCUGUUCUAUAAUCGAUAAACCCCGAUAAACCUCACCACUUCUUGCUAAUACAGUUUAUAUACCGCCAUCUUCAGCAAACCCCAAAAGGGAACCAAAGUAAGCAUAAGAAUACUCAUAAAAACGUUAGGUCAAGGUGUAACCAAUGAAGCGGAAAGAAAUGGGCUACAUUUUCUUUACCAAAGAAAAUCAAAAACAGUAAUCUUUAUGAAACUUAAGGAUUUAAGGAGGAUUUAGUAGUAAAUUAAGAAUAGAGAGCUUAAUUGAACUAGGCCAUAAAGCACGCACACACCGCCCGUCACCCUCCUCAAAUACAAAUAAUACUAACUCGAGAUAAAAGUAUAAGAGGAGACAAGUCGUAACAAGGUAAGUGUACUGGAAGGUGUGCUUGGAUAAA
rnacentral:ncRNA from 1 species